UUUUUGUUUUUUUUACUUUUUAAAGGUGAGUUAGGAUGAUAUCAAGAUUAAAUAUAUUUGAUAUAUGGUUUUAUAAAUUAUUUUAUUGAAAAAUAUUAUUAUAAAAGAUUAAAUGUAUAUUAGAUUAUAAAAUGUAUGUUUGGAUUUCAAAUGUUGGUCUUCUUUGGAAUCGUAAGUACUCUUCCAUGGGAAGUAAUGAAAAAGGGUUGGUUAAUGAAAUGUCGACUCAAGUUGGGAAAUGGGAUUGGGGGAAGCUCUCUUUAUGGCUUGGUGGUCAUACUAUGUUGCUUUGCAUAUUUACCAUCGUCCCUAGGAGAUUGGAUGGGGGCAAAGACAUGAUAACUUAGAAAAGGAUGGUUGAUAGUCGGUCCUCGAUUUCUGAUGCUUUUGUGGCCUUUGCAAGUUAGAAUUGGGAUGCCAAUAAUAGUUGUUGGAAUGUUGUUUCCUUUGACUUCUUAUGAAGGAUAGACUCCUAACUAAUAUGGAGAGGUGUAAAAGGGGAAUCACCAUUGAUGCCUUUUUUCACCUAUGGGGGCAAUUUAGGGGAGUUCUAUUCACGCAAUCAAGGAUUGCCCACGCCCAUACACGUGUGGAAAAACUUGGUGACAA
rnacentral:lncRNA from 1 species